CCAAUAGCGUAUCUUAAAGUUGUUGCAGUUAAAAAGCUCGUAGUUGAAUUUCGGGGUUAGUAGAUUGGUCGUGCCACUGGUAUGCACUGGUCUUACUGAUUCCUCCUUCCUGAUGAACCGUAAUGCCAUUAAUUUGGUGUUGCGGGGAGACUGGACUGUUACUUUGAAAAAAUUAGAGUGUUUAAAGCAGGCUAACGCUUGAAUACAUUAGCAUGGAAUAAUGAAAUAGGACGUUCGAUCCUAUUUUGUUGGUUUCUAGGAUUGACGUAAUGAUUAAUAGGGAUAGUUGGGGGCAUUAGUAUUCAAUUGUCAGAGGUGAAAUUCUUGGAUUUAUUGAAGACUAACUACUGCGAAAGCAUUUGCCAAGGAUGUUUUCAUUAAUCAAGAACGAAAGUUAGGGGAUCGAAGACGAUCAGAUACCGUCGUAGUCUUAACCAUAAACUAUGCCGACUAGGGAUCGGAUGAUGUUAAUUUUUUAAUGACUCAUUCGGCGCCUUACG
rnacentral:rRNA from 1 species